rnacentral:sRNA from 1 species
GGAGCCCGCGCGCGGAUCCGGUUGCGAGGAUAAUUAAAAAUUUACACACAGUUGGAAGAAAUCAUAGAGAAGCCAGGCGUGGUGGCUCAUGCCUAUAAUCCCAGCACUUUGGGAGGGCAAGGUGGGCAGAUCACUUGAGGUCAGGAGUUCGAGAUCAGCCUGGUGCCUUGGCAUCUCCCAAUGGGGUGGCUUUGCUCUGGGCUCCUGUUCCCUGUGAGCUGCCUGGUCCUGCUGCAGGUGGCAAGCUCUGGGAACAUGAAGGUCCUGCAGGAGCCCACCUGCGUCUCCGACUACUUGAGCAUCUCUACUUGCGAGUGGAAGAUGAAUGGUCCCACCAAUUGCAGCACCGAGCUCCGCCUGUUGUACCAGCUGGUUUUUCUGCUCUCCGAAACCCACACGUGUGUCCCCGAGAACAAUGGAGGCGCGGGGUGCGUGUGCCACCUGCUCAUGGAUGACAUGGUCAGUGCAGACAACUAUACGCUGGACCUGUGGGCUGGGCAGCAGCUGCUGUGGAAGGGCUCCUUCAAGCCCAGCGAGCAUGGUGAGCAGGACGGAGUGCGGCAGGGGUGGGUGGGUGUGUUCCCACAGCUGCCUGGGCUGAGGGUGGGUGG